AUCUUUUUAUGUCCAGAUAUAUAAAUAUAUAUAAAGAUAUAGCUAAGCCAAGAUACAUAAAUAUAUGACAAAGCAAUGGUGUCAGGAGGCCUCUGAACUGCUCCUAUUGUGACCUAUAAAAUGCUUUUGACUUCAUUUAACAAUAUAGACCCACAGAAUCAUGGGAUCACUCACACCACAUUGAUAAACCAUUCUUCAGAAAACUGGUCAAAGAGAGAGAGUCUAGAGCGGUUUCCAAGCUCUGAAGGACAUGUAUAUAGAGUAGCAUCAAGAUCCCAAAGAGAAGAUCUAAAGUUCACUCUCAGCACAAUCCAGGGGUCAGCAAGUGAGAGAGCAUGCCAAGAUUGCAGGGUUAAGACUGAGCCCAGGCUGGGUCUUCCACACCUCCUGACAUCCUCCUCCAAGCUGCUCAGGGCAAGACACAGGUGAAACCAAUCAAACAGAAACAACCAGGGGCGAAGGUUGAGCACAACCUGGCAUGGAGAUUUCCUAGUGGGAUUUCCAUUAACAUGAAUGGGAGUUGUUCCGCUAAAUCCCUCCAUACUGUGCGGAAAAUGGAUCUCUAAGUGCUCAGCAGCAACAUUACAGCUGAUGGAACAAAAACACAGACGGCCCAAACCGGACAAAAUGCUGUCGGAGUCCAGGUGCCAGUGUUCAAAGCAGAAGAGGCCUCGAGUUAGCAGCCACCAGGGCAAACAACACAGGUUCCAAGCAUGAUGGCGGCAGCAGGCUAAACCUAGAACCACACCUGGGUGAUGGAGCCAAUAGCACCAGCCUCUGCACGCUGUGUGUCGAAGGGGCUUUCCCUUGCAGGUAUCUUUGGACAAUGACCUUGUACAGAGAAAAAGAUGAUUUCCCUUCUCAUCAGUGAUGCAAACUUGAAAUUGUGAUCAACUGCAGAAUCAACAUUAGAUACACACUUUUGUCUUUUGCUCUUUGAAUGUGGUAAAAGACUAGAAAGACACAAGGAUCAAAAAGGACAGAAGAUGACUUACUUGUCUUCAUUUUGGCAUUAAAGUGUCUCUUCUUCUGUAUCCUUCCCUAUAUGUCUAGUCCCUUCUUCUCAAGGGAGAUUCUCAUCAAACCUGUAUUUUCCUUGGUCUCAAUCCUUCAAUUCUUGGGCUAGUAUUCUGACUUGCUCAUUUCCCAAAAUCUAAUUUUAUUACAUAUUAUUACAUAUAUUACAUUAUAACAUGGGGUGUAUGGGGUGCUCAGGGAGGGGUAGUAUCUCUGUUGUGGAGGGCUUGUUGUGCCCUCCUAGGGCAGCUCUCCAGCCUCUGACCUGACACCCACCUCUCACUUGUGGCUCCCAGUAGCUGCUAGCAUGAGGCAGAGGCCACACCCCGGGCAACGGCUUCAACAGGCCGGCUAAACCUUGUGAGGGUAGCCAUCGGGUCGUCGUGGACCCCUGGUGAACCAGGGCUUUGCU
rnacentral:lncRNA from 1 species